GAUCUAAAAGUCUUCACUAGUCACUCACAGCCGCACAAGCAUUCGACCUUCACGGAUGGUCUACACGAAGUCCUCAGACCGAUUAGCCCUCCGUGGGAGUGCUAGCUCGUGCAGUCGGCUUCUGAUGACGGAUCUGAUUUGAUCUCCUUCUUCGAUCACUUCAAACCUUUCUGAUGUUGAAGAUAGAUCAGAGGAGGAUGCUGGAUGAU
rnacentral:lncRNA from 1 species